CAGCAGCCGCGGGAAUACGUAGGGUGCGAGCGUUAAUCGGAAUUACUGGGCGUAAAGCGUGCGCAGGCGGUUCGUUAAGACAGAUGUGAAAUCCCCGGGCUUAACCUGGGAACUGCAUUUGUGACUGGCGAGCUAGAGUAUGGCAGAGGGGGGUAGAAUUCCACGUGUAGCAGUGAAAUGCGUAGAGAUGUGGAGGAAUACCGAUGGCGAAGGCAGCCCCCUGGGCCAAUACUGACGCUCAUGCACGAAAGCGUGGGGAGCAAACAGGAUUAGAGACCCCAGUAGUCCCUGUCUCUUAUAA
rnacentral:rRNA from 1 species